rnacentral:rRNA from 1 species
GAUGAACGCUAGCGGCAGGCCUAAUACAUGCAAGUCGAACGGGAUCUGAGGGUAGCUUGCUACCCGAUUUGAGAGUGGCGCACGGGUGCGUAACGCGUGAGCAACCUGCCCAUAUCAGGGGGAUAGCCCGAAGAAAUUCGGAUUAACACCGCAUAAUAAUACGCUAACACAUGUUGAUGUAUUUAAAUAUUUAUAGGAUAUGGAUGGGCUCGCGUGACAUUAGCUAGUUGGUAAGGUAACGGCUUACCAAGGCGACGAUGUCUAGGGGCUCUGAGAGGAGAAUCACCAACACUGGUACUGAGACACGGACCAGACUCCUACGGGAGGCAGCAGUAAGGAAUAUUGGUCAAUGGGCGCAAGCCUGAACCAGCCAUGCCGCGUGCAGGAUGACUGCCCUAUGGGUUGUAAACUGCUUUUGUUAGGGAAUAAACCUUCUUACGUGUAAGGAGCUGAAUGUACCUAAAGAAUAAGGACCGGCUAACUCCGUGCCAGCAGCCGCCGUAA